UCAGAGCGAACGCUGGCGGCAGGCCUAACACAUGCAAGUCGAACGGACCCUUCGGGGUUAGUGGCGGACGGGUGAGUAACACGUGGGAACGUGCCUUUAGGUUCGGAAUAGCUCCUGGAAACGGGUGGUAAUGCCGAAUGUGCCCUUCGGGGGAAAGAUUUAUCGCCUUUAGAGCGGCCCGCGUCUGAUUAGCUAGUUGGUGGGGUAAUGGCCCACCAAGGCUACGAUCAGUAGCUGGUCUGAGAGGAUGACCAGCCACAUUGGGACUGAGACACGGCCCAAACUCCUACGGGAGGCAGCAGUGGGGAAUCUUGCGCAAUGGGCGAAAGCCUGACGCAGCCAUGCCGCGUGUAUGAUGAAGGUCUUAGGAUUGUAAAAUACUUUCACCGGUGAAGAUAAUGACUGUAGCCGGAGAAGAAGCCCCGGCUAACUUCGUGCCAGCAGCCGCGGUAAUACGAAGGGGGCUAGCGUUGCUCGGAAUUACUGGGCGUAAAGGGAGCGUAGGCGGACAUUUAAGUCAGAGGUGAAAUCCCGGAGCUUAACUUCGGAACUGCCUUUGAUACUGGAUGUCUUGAGUGUGAGAGAGGUAUGUGGAACUCCGAGUGUAGAGGUGAAAUUCGUAGAUAUUCGGAAGAACACCAGUGGCGAAGGCGACAUACUGGCUCAUUACUGACGCUGAGGCUCGAAAGCGUGGGGAGCAAACAGGAUUAGAUACCCUGGUAGUCCACGCCGUAAACGAUGAUUGCUAGUUGUCGGGAAGCUUGCUUCUCGGUGACGCA
rnacentral:rRNA from 1 species